UACUCUGUGGGAUAAAAAUUC
rnacentral:piRNA from 1 species